GAGUAUUUGAAAUGAGUUCCUGUUGAUGGCAUGGAACCAGAGCCCUAGGCUCCGAAAUUGGAGAGGAGCAGACUGCAGCUGGGCCCAAAGCAGACCUUUCUCUCUAGCUGAACAGAGACACUGAGCUCGAUCUCUACAGGUCUGUGCAGACUCCCACUGCCCUGAUCUGCCCAGACUUCAGCAGCUCUUCCUCUCUACUUAGCAGCACAAGAGGCCGAGUGAAGAGAGGGGCCAGAGGCGUAGCAUUCUGAUUCAGAGGGUCCGUCAUUUCCCUCAGGACCCACAGCUUUGUCUUCCAAAGAGUACCCAGGUGGUGCACCCCAUGCGUGGAGCUUUGAGACUCCUGGAAAAUGGAGUGAAAGUAAUGGAGGCGGCCGGUUGCAUUCUGUUCCCUCUACACACUUCUCCCUAAUGUACUCUCCCCACUUUCCCUCAUGGAAAUACUGAGUUUGUCCUAAACGGCUAUCUUUGGCUUGGACAGAGAAUUGGCCUAUUUCAGCUUUCUGGGUUACUCUCUGGACCCUGUAGUCCAGGCUCCUCACACUCACUCACUCACCUUGCUUAACAUUUUUGGUACCAUUGGCUUUCCUCCCCCAUUUUAUUGUGGGUGUUCCCUUUUUUUUUCCCCCUCUUAGAUCUUCAAUCUCAGAUGAAGCAGUUGGUGAAUUUUAGUCUUUGCAGAAGUUAACUAUUUAUUAUUAGUCAGUGUCUUUGUUUUGCUGACCAAGCUCACUUUUCCUCAGUGAAUUAAGAUGACCUUCAUCUCUAAUGAAUAUGUCAGGUGUGUGUAUCAUGCACACAUUGUGGCAGAAUGGUGUGAGGAAUGUCAUGUGCUUUGUGUGUAUAAAUUCUUUAAUGUGUGACUGAUCUGUUGUUUGCACAUUUGAAUAUGGGAUAGUUUUGUGUGUGUGAGAGUGGUAUUUGUGCUUUGUGUCUGUGUUUUAGGUCAGCACGUAUCUAUGUGUGCAGACUGUGUGUCCUACGAUUAUGCAUUUGUGUGCGUGUUUCACAUGUUAGGUGGCUUAGUUGUGCAACAGGAUUAUUGGGAGUAUUCUCUUUGAGACUAGUGUAAGGUAACAGUGAAAGUGCAGAAGGAUCUGAAAAAUCAAUGGCUGUAAGGGAAAGAAUAUAUGAGUUUUCAAUAUAGAACUGUUUGAAGAUCCAAAGUAAAUGAGGGCACAGGACAGAGAGUGCAAGAAUAAAUGUAGAGUAGCAUGUGAUUGAUUGCUUUACAAAGUAAAAUCUUGAAAGAUUGAGGUUUAAGGCAUUGGGAUGGAAUAUGAACACUAAAGCCUAGCCCUCUGACUCUGAGGCAUUCACCAAUUAGAAAUAUGUCCAUAUAGCAAAAUACAUGUAAUAGAAUUUUCAGAGUACCCCCAGAUUGAAAGUACCCAAAAUGCUCAUAAAGUAUAAUUAAUAAAGACAGUAUUUAUAUGCAGAAGGAUGAAGGGACUACAGUCACAUAUAUCAUGGAUGAUUAUUACAAACACAAGUACAGAGAGUGAAAAGAAGUUGACACAAAGCAUGUACUGUGCACUUGUGUUCACGUAACAUUAAAACACAGGGACAACUAGUGCAGCACUUUUGUAUGGUUGGGACAAAAGCAGAGUAGAGAACUCAGAUGCAUGUGGAAGAUGACAAGGAAGUAAAAGAUGAGGAUAGCGGGGUGCAGAUGGGUCUGUAUAGGGUUGAACUUGCGAACAUCGGCUAUGAAAAGAUACUGCUGUGCUGGGGUCUCGGACCAGGUAUGCCUCUACUCAGGUCAGGACCUAAGGAUCCUACCGUGUUGGGCCUGCUUUAGGCUGUUAGUGCUGUCACACCUUCCUGGUAAUAUAACCUGUCCUUGCCCAGCUCAUACUGACAUGUUCUUCCAUGUUCCUCUGAUAGAACUCAUCCCCUUAGGCCCUCUUGCACCAUUUCUUCAAAUAACUCACUGCCCUCCCCUUGUCUCCUUGGGCUCGCUCCAAUCCUUCGAAGUAUUUUCCCUUGGGAUUUACUAUUUCCAAUGGGGAUUAUAUUAAUGAAGAUGGAGAAGCAUUUUGAGUUUCUUUCUGUACUGGGCAGCCUUGUACUGACUGAUGAGCAGAAUCACUCAGCUCAUCUCUGGGCUCUGCCUAGGUCCCCACUGUCUAUUGCAUCCCAUUCAGUAGUCCCUUCUUACCAGGGCCAGGAAGCUUUUCCAUUGCUUUGUGGCCUUGGUUUGGGGCCACUGUCCUGUGUCCAUGCUGUAGAGCUGCUUUUGUAGAAAAAUUAAAUAAAAAUGAUAGAUGUGGUCCGUG